GUAUUAGAUUGGUGCAAAAGUAAUUGCAGUUUUUGCCAUUAUUUUUAAUGGUUAAAAACUGCAGUUACUUCUGCACCAACCUAAUAU
rnacentral:miRNA from 1 species